GCCUGGGUGGCUCAGUCGGUUGAGCGUCCGACUUGGGCUCAGGUCAUGAUCUCAUGGUUUGUGAGUUCGGGCCCCGCCUCAGGCU
rnacentral:tRNA from 1 species